rnacentral:rRNA from 1 species
UACGAGGGGAGCAAGCGUUGUUCGGAUUUACUGGGCGUAAAGGGUGCGCAGGCGGCUCCACAAGUCACUUGUGAAAUCUUUGGGCUUAACCCAAAGCGGCCAGGUGAAACUGUGGAGCUAGAGUGCAGAAGGGGCAGCUGGAAUUCCCGGUGUAGCGGUGAAAUGCGUAGAGAUCGGGAGGAACACCUGCGGCGAAGGCGGGUUGCUGGGCUGACACUGACGCUGAGGCACGAAAGCUAGGGUAGCAAACGGG